ensembl:lncRNA
GGAAGGGGGCUUCUAAGAGAAGCCCGUUGCCCGUCCAGAGCUGUGGGCAAGGGAAGUGCCCCUUCUUGGGACCACUUUCCUGCUUGGAUCUGGCAGGAGGUGGGGCGGGCCAGGAGUGUGAGGGUUGGGCCAGGCCCCAAGCAGUGUCCCUGUCCCUGGUUCAUGACCAGUCAAGUGCAUCGACCUAUUCCUGCUUAUUCCUUUGAGUUAUAAAUGGUUUUUAUUUCCCCUGUGGAAUUGGGGGUUCAGGUUGUAUAGGAUGACCCGAUUUGUAUCACAAGAGCCUUGGGGACUUUGACAGAUUUCACCCUUUAAAAAAACACACAGCUUUUUGCCUCCACCCCACUGGACAUGAAAGCACCCUUUGAAUUUACGGAACAAAGAGCACGUCUUUAAAGGGCAGCGUGCACAGAAAGGAGAAAAGGGAAGUAAGACAGUUCGUCUUCUUUUCUGAGGCCAUUGUCUCCAGACAGGUGCCCCGGCUGAGUAUCUUGAAAAAUCUUGGAUUGGUUUUUAGUGCAGAGGCAUCUCCCUAGGCCGGGAAACACCCCAAGUCGAGUUGCUUGGUUUCCGUGGCUGGAGGAGAGCAGAGGCGUUGCUCCAGGGAGAGUGCAUUUGACCGGGGGUGCGUCUCUCUUGGCCGUUUUGAUGGAGAUGAGACUCUGUUCUUGAGAGGCCGGUGGGCACAGAUUGGACUCGAAUGGUGCAAGGUGAGUGGGAAGAGAGUUGCAGUAUGGAAGGAGUGAUUGUUUUAUGACAAGGUCUCUUUUCCGAGCGUCAUCUCUGGUGUGUCUGAGUGUUGAUUUAGGAAUCGGGGAUGACUUGAUUAAAAAUAAACAAAAGCCAAGCCUAGGGGUCUCUUGCAAUUUUCAUCAUAAGCUAUGGCUCUCAGUGGCUAUUUUUGUUUCCCAGGCUAGGGGUCGAAUCGGAGCUGUAGCCGCUGGCCUACGCCACAGCCACAGCAACGUGGGAUCCUUAACCCGCUGAGCAAGGCUGGGGAUCGAACUGCGUUCUCAUGGAUACUGGUCGGGUUUGUUAACUGCUGAGCACGCCGGGAACUCCCUGCUUCCCAGAUUCUUAAUGAGAGAUUGUAAUGCCUGGAAGGGACCAUAGUAACCGUGGAAGAGCGAGUCGGGCCCACAGAGAGGUAGUGAUCUGCCCAGGGUCAUAAAGCAGGUUCUUGGCAGGGGCCUAGCCCAGUGCGUUUCCCUGUGAUCACACGAGAGUAAAGGUGGCCUCUUUCCCUUCCCCUUUUUUUAAAAUCAAGUAAGCAAUCAGUCAUGACAGCCCUUCAGAAGCCAGCCAGUCCAACGUCCUAACUUUAAAUAUAGGCUCAAUGCGCUAUUUCUACAUCCAAAUUCAAGUACCAAAAGAUGCUCACAUUCUUGUUUCCAGAAUCCAAGCAAAUUCUCCCUCCGCCUUCCUUCCCACUGAUUCCAUGACAUCCCAUGGUUGAAACCAGGUCCUUCGUGGGUGGCUGUUAUUAAUAAGCUUUCCUGGGGAUGUUUACAGUAACUGCUGUGACCUAAAUAAGAUUGCUUGUGUUGUUUUUCCCCCACAAAGGCAAGAACAGCUUUGGAACGUGUGUUCAUCUCUCAUACCAUUGUACUCAAGCAUUGCUUUUUUUCCUACUUGUUACAUUAGAGGAGGAGACUUGGAUGGAGUAGAGCGAGUGUUUCUGCACGAGUUAAACUGUUUGGGGCCUCUGUGGAGUAGAGGUUCAUGACACUGUGCCAUGCAGCAAUACACCAUGAUCCUUUGCAAAAAUUUUAUUUCCAAUUAUGGUACAAUACACAAAAUAGAAAAUUUAGGGAGUUCCAUUGUGGCUCAGUGGUAACGAACCCGGCUAGGAUCCGUGAGGACACGGGUUCGAUCCCUGGCCUGGAUCAGUGG